AUUGAACGCUGGCGGCAUGCUUUACACAUGCAAGUCGAACGGCAGCGCGGGGCAACCUGGCGGCGAGUGGCGCACGGGUGAGUAAUACAUCGGAACGUACCCAGAAGUGGGGGAUAACGUAGCGAAAGUUACGCUAAUACCGCAUACGUUCUACGGAAGAAAGUGGGGGACCUUCGGGCCUCAUGCUUUUGGAGCGGCCGAUGUCUGAUUAGCUAGUUGGUGAGGUAAAGGCUCACCAAGGCGACGAUCAGUAGCUGGUCUGAGAGGACGACCAGCCACACUGGGACUGAGACACGGCCCAGACUCCUACGGGAGGCAGCAGUGGGGAAUUUUGGACAAUGGGCGCAAGCCUGAUCCAGCAAUGCCGCGUGAGUGGAGAAGGCCUUCGGGUUGUAAAGCUCUUUUGUCAGGGAAGAAACGGCUGAGGAUAAUACCUUCGGCUAAUGACGGUACCUGAAGAAUAAGCACCGGCUAACUACGUG
rnacentral:rRNA from 1 species